rnacentral:rRNA from 1 species
GACGAACGCUGGCGGCGUGCUUAACACAUGCAAGUCGAACGGUGAAGCGCCUUCCUUUUUGGCGGGGGUGGAUGAGUGGCGAACGGGUGAGUAACACGUGGGUAACCUUCCCCCUUCUUCUGGAUAACCGCAUGAAAGUGUGUCUAAUACGGGAUAUUCUGGGUCUGUCUCAUGAUGGGUCUGGGAAGGAUAUUGUUUCGGUGGGACAUGGGCUCGCGGUCUAUCAGUUUGUUGGUGGGGUGAUGGUUUACCAAGGCGGUGACGGGUAGCCGGCCUGCGAGGGUGGCCGAGCACGCCGGAAAGGAGGCACGGCCAAGACUGCAACGGGACGCAGCACAGAGGACUACGGGACAAUGCGGGCAAGAAUAAUGCAGCGUCGCCGCAAGCGUGAUGGAGGCCUGCGGGUUGUGAACUUCUUUCGCUAGUGAAGCAGACCUGCCUUAUGUGUGGGUAUAUUGACGGUAGCUGGAGAAGAAGCGCCGGCUAACUACGUG